CAACCCUCAAGCUCUGCUUGGCAUUGGGCGUCACCCCCGGGUGUGCCUCAAAAUCAGUGGCGGUGCCGUCUGGCUUCCAGCGUAGUAAUACUCCUCGCUGGGAAGUCCGGGCGCGUGUCCUGCCAGAACCCCCAUAUUCUUUCA
rnacentral:misc_RNA from 1 species